rnacentral:rRNA from 1 species
UGCUUGCGAAUUGAUACUAAGCCAUGCGAGUAUUGUAGUAAUACAAGGCAGACGGCUCAGUAACGCGUAGUCAACCCACCCUAUGGGCGGGAAUAACUUCGGGAAACUGAGUAUAAUGCCCGAUAGAACACUAUACCUGGAAUGGUCUGUGUUCCAAAUGAUUUAUCGCCGUAGGAUGGGACUGCGGCCUAUCAGUUUGUUGGUGAGGUAAUGGCCCACCAAGACUAUUACAGGUACGGGCUCUGAGAGGAGUAGCCCGGAGAUGGGUACUGGGACACGGACCCAGGCCCUAUGGGGCGCAGCAGGCGAGAAAACUUUGCAAUGUGCGAAAGCACGACAAGGUUAAUCCGAGUGGUUUGUGCUAAACGAACCUUUUGACAGUCCUAGAAACACUGUUGAAUAAGGGGUGGGCAAGUUCUGGUGUCAGCCGCCGCGGUAAAACCAGCACCUCAAGUGGUCAGGAUGAUUAUUGGGCCUAAAGCAUCCGUAGCCGGCUCUGUGAGUUUUCGGUUAAAUCUGUAUGCUCAACAUACAGGCCUGCCGGGAAUACUGCAGAGCUAGGGAGUGGGAGAGGUAGACGGUACUCGGUAGGAAGGGGUAAAAUCCUUUGAUCUAUUGAUGACCGCCUGUGGCGAAGGCGGUCUACCAGAACACGUCCGACGGUGAGGGAUGAAAGCUGGGGGGAGCAAACCCGGAUUAGGAUACCCGGGUAGUCCCCAGCUGUAAACUAUGCAAACUCAGUGAUGCAUUGGGCUUGUGGGCCAAUGCAGUGGCUGCAGGGAGGCCGUUAAGUUUGCCGCCUGGGGAAGUACGUACGCAAGUUUGAAGCUUAAAGAAAUUGGCGGGGGAGCAC